rnacentral:tRNA from 1 species
AAUAAACAUAAUUUUCGCCCGCUCAUCGAGUCCUGCGGCCUGAAAAACCACCGUUGUUAAUCAACUACAAAAAC